UACGUAGGGUGCGAGCGUUAAUCGGAAUUACUGGGCGUAAAGCGUGCGCAGGCGGUCUGUUAAGACCGAUGUGAAAUCCCCGGGCUCAACCUGGGAAUGGCAUUGGAUACUGGCUCGCUGGAGUGCGGUAGAGGGUGGUGGAAUUCCCGGUGUAGCAGUGAAAUGCGUAGAGAUCGGGAGGAACAUCUGUGGCGAAGGCGGCCACCUGGACCAGCACUGACGCUGAGGCACGAAAGCGUGGGGAGCAAACAGG
rnacentral:rRNA from 1 species